AACUUAUUUCUAUUCCGGAAAUACUUGACAUCAAAAUGAAUAAAAGAGGAUGUAUCUAGAUGUAUUUUAGUUCUAGAUACAUCUCUUUUUAUCUAACAAGUAUUUUCGGACGAAGGGAAUAUCAA
rnacentral:pre_miRNA from 1 species